rnacentral:rRNA from 1 species
UACGUAGGGUGCGAGCGUUAAUCGGAAUUACUGGGCGUAAAGCGUGCGCAGGCGGUUCGUUGUGUCGGCGCUGAAAGCCCCGGGCUCAACCUGGGAAUGGCCGUUGAAACUGGCGAACUGGAGUGUGGCAGAGGGGGGUGGAAUUCCGCGUGUAGCAGUGAAAUGCGUAGAGAUGCGGAGGAACACCGAUGGCGAAGGCAGCCCCCUGGUCUAACACUGACGCUCAGGCACGAAAGCGUGGGGAGCAAACAGG